UACGUAGGGCGCGAGCGUUGUCCGGAAUUAUUGGGCGUAAAGAGCUCGUAGGCGGUUUGUCGCGUCUGCCGUGAAAUCCUCUGGCUUAACUGGGGGCGUGCGGUGGGUACGGGCAGACUGGAGUGCGGUAGGGGAGACUGGAAUUCCUGGUGUAGCGGUGGAAUGCGCAGAUAUCAGGAGGAACACCGGUGGCGAAGGCGGGUCUCUGGGCCGUUACUGACGCUGAGGAGCGAAAGCAUGGGGAGCGAACAGG
rnacentral:rRNA from 2 species